ACUCGCGGCUCCGCAGCGCAGCUCCAUGGCAGCCGAGCCCCUCCCCGUGGAACUCACCCCCCUGCACCCCCAAACUGCCCCCCAGGGGGACCCCCAACAACCCCCCCAACCCCCUGAGGCCGAAGCCAACGGGCUCCUCAAACCCCAACCCCAAGAGGGGGACCCCCAAAACCCUUCCCCCCCCCCCCCUCAGCUCCCAUCCUAAAGGGGACCCCGAAUUAGGCUCAGGGGGGUCCCCAGAAGUGGGGGGACCCCCCAAAUUCACGGGGCUGGGCAAGGAGGAGCUGCUGGCGGCGGCGGCGGCGGCGCCCUGGGUCAGGCUCCGGGGGGGGCUGCUGCUGCUGUUUUGGGGGGGCUGGUUGGCCAUGUUGGGGGCCGCUGCUGCCGUGGUGGUGGCGGCUCCUCGCUGCCCCCCCCCCUGCACCCCAAAACCCAGCCAGCUGGUGGAGAGGAGGAGGAUGGUAUAGGGCACCCCCCAGGGAGUUUGGGGGGCAGCUGAAGGGGGUGACGUCCCGCCUGGGCCACGUGGCCGAGCUGCAGGCUCCGGGGGCUGCUCCUGGGGCCCCUUUACCCAGCCCCCAGCCCGGGGGGGGACCCCAAAAACCAGGGGGGGGACCCCAAAAACCUGCCCCCCCCCGCCCUGGAGGAGCUGGACCCCGAGCUGGGGACCCUGGACGACUUCACGGCCCUGGUGGAGGCUGCCAAGGGCAAAGGGCUGAGGGUGGUCGUGGAUCUGACCCCCAACUACUCGGGGGGGCCCCUGUGGGGGGGCCCUGAGCUCACCUCAGACCCCCAGUUCCAGGAGAGGGUCAAGCGGGCGCUGGGGCUGUGGCUGGAGCGUGGGGCAGCCGGAGUCUUCCUGGAUGGCAUCGAGGAGCUGGAGGUC